rnacentral:tRNA from 1 species
AGCAUGUUAGCUCAGGGGAAGAGCGGUAUUUACCCACGUGACCUACAUAUUUGGAGUAUACAAGCUAACAUAUAAUAGCCGGGCUCAUAACCCGGAGGACCCUGGAUCGAAACCAGGACAUGCUA